rnacentral:rRNA from 1 species
UAUAAGAGGUCCUGCCUGCCCAGUGACUAUAUGUUCAACGGCCGCGGUACUUUGACCGUGCGAAGGUAGCGCAAUCACUUGUCUUUUAAAUGGAGACCUGUAUGAAUGGCACAACGAGGGCUUAACUGUCUCCUUUUUCCAGUCAAUGAAAUUGAUCUUCCCGUGCAGAAGCGGGAAUAAUAUCAUAAGACGAGAAGACCCUGUGGAGCUUUAGACACUAAAUCAGCCCUUGUCCAAAAAUCCCAAUUAAAGGAAUGAACACUAGAGUGAGACCUGAUCUAAUGUCUUCGGUUGGGGCGACCUUGGGGAAAGAAAAAUCCCCCAUGCGGAACGGAAAUACCAUGUUUCCAAAACUAAGAGAGACCACUCAAAGUAUCAAAAAUUUUGACCAACUAUAUGAUCCGGCUUAACGCCGAUCAACGGACCGAGUUACCCCAGGGAUAACAGCGCAAUCCUCUUUUAGAGCCCAUAUCGACAAGAGGGUUUACGACCUCGAUGUUGGAUCAGGACAUCCUAAUGGUGCAGCCGCUAUUAAGGGUUCGUUUGUUCAACGAUUAAAGUCCU